rnacentral:rRNA from 1 species
GACCUGACUGCUAUCGGAUUGAUACUAAGCCAUGCGAGUCAUUGUAGCAAUACAAGGCAUACGGCUCAGUAACGCGUAGUCAACCUAACCUAUGGACGGGAAUAACCUCGGGAAACUGAGAAUAAUGCCCGAUAGAACACUAUACCUGGAAUGGUUUGUGUUCCAAAUGAUUUAUCGCCAUAGGAUGGGACUGCGGCCUAUCAGUUUGUUGGUGAGGUAAUGGCCCACCAAGACUAUUACAGGUACGGGCUCUGAGAGGAGUAGCCCGGAGAUGGGUACUGAGACACGGACCCAGGCCCUAUGGGGCGCAGCAGGCGAGAAAACUUUGCAAUGUGCGAAAGCACGACAAGGUUAAUCCGAGUGAUUUGUGCUAAACGAAUCUUUUGUUAGUCCUAGAAACACUAACGAAUAAGGGGUGGGUAAGGACGGUGCCAGCCGCCGCGGUAAUACCGGCGCCUCAAGUGGUAGUCGCUUUUAUUGGGCCUAAAACGUCCGUAGCCGGUCUGAUACAUUCGUGGGUAAAUCAACCAGCUUAACUGGUUGAAUUCUGCGAGGACGGUCAGACUUGGGACCGGGAGAGGUGUGGGGUACGCUCAGGGUAGGGGUAAAAUCCUGUCAUCCUGAGCGGACCACCUGUUGCGAAGGCGCCACACUAGAACGGAUCCGACGGUCAGGGACGAAGCCUAGGGGCACGAACCGGAUUAGAUACCCGGGUAGUCCUAGGUGUAAACGCUGUGGACUUGAUGUUGGGGGUGCUCCGAGCACUCUCAGUGUCGAAGCGAAGGUGAUAAGUCCACUGCCUGGGAAGUACGGUCGCAAGGCUGAAACUUAAAGGAAUUGGCGGGGGAGCACCGCAACCUGAGGAUUGUGCGGUUUAAUUGGAUUCAACGCCGGAAAACUCACCAUAGCCGACGGACAAAUGAAGGUCAGUGUAAUGAACUUACCGGAUUGUUCGAGAGGUAGUGCAUGGCCGCCGUCAGUUCGUACCGUAAGGCGUUCUGUUAAGUCAGAUAACGAACGAGACCCUCAUCUCUAUUUGCCACCAGAUCUCCGGAUCUGACGGGACUAUAGAGAGACCGCUGGCGCUAAGUCAGAGGAAGGGGAGGGCAACGGUAGGUCAGUAUGCUCCGAAUGCUAUGGGCUACACGCGCAAUACAAAGGACGGGACAAUGGGCUGCUGCUCCGAAAGGAAUGAUAGCUAUCCCGAAACCUGUUCGUAGUUCGGAUUGAGGGCUGUAACUCGCCCUCAUGAAGCUGGAUUAGGUAGUAAUCGCGUCUCAAUAAGGCGCGGUGAAUAUGCCCCUGCUCC